UUAUUAUAUAGUUAUAGUAAUAUAGUAGAGAUCUAUAGAUAGGCAUAGCACUAAUAAUACUGCAUAGAUCUAGUAUCAUAAGUAUGGACUAUGGUCAUGAUAUUGACAAUAUUGUCAUAUUGAUGGAUAGAAAUAAUUAGGACUAGUGGCUCCCAAACAUUAUUGUUCUAGACUAGCGGUCCUCAACCUUUUUAGCUCGGCGACCCCUUUUACAAUUACCAUCUUUGGUCUUUGCGGCGACCCACAGGUUGAGAACCCCUGUUCUAGACCCAAUGUCAUGUUUUCCAGUUUUGGUAGACCUUUUGCUUAAAGGACAGAGGUGCAGUCGCCCGUAGGCGCAAAAAGAUCAACUCAUAGAAGAAAGUAGAUGGCAGCAGAUGGUCUCUGAAACUGAAAGAGGCAGUUGGAGAGCUCUCACAAAGAAAGACUGUAGGACACAUAAGAACUAUUUGAAACCCAAAGAAAAACCCUUGUUUAAGUCAAGGAAUGUGCCUUUAUCUUUGUGUCUUUCUGAGUAUUUUUAAUAGGUUUUGUUUUUGUAUUAGAAGUGUUUUAUGCAUAAUUUCUACUUUUCUUUAUAGUCUUCUAUCCUGAAAGCUUUAUAAAUUUAGUGAUUUUACUAAAGGUGUUACUCUAGUCAAAUGGGAAUAUUCGUUUUUUAUGAAUCCAUGAACAUCACGUUACUAAGAAUGAAAGGUAAUAAACAGGAUCAAAGGCUCAAUGGCUAAGUUCACUCCAGAUGAAAAUAUAACAAUCUUUAAUACAGAAUGGGCCAUAGUCGAGUCAGUCACUACAAUGAUGUUAUCCCUUUGAGAGCCUAGCACUAACUGAUCUCAAAGUCUACACUAAUCUCUAACCCCAAACGUCUAUGUCGUCACUCUAAAAUGUGAGUUCACUGUCAGUCUAUUAUAGUGCGUAACUAAACUAAGUGUCUAACGGGAUGCAUAUUCUAUUACUGGCCUAACCAAGGUUAUAUAACAUUUUAGUUUUAUUUAAUUUAUAGAAAUUUCAUGUAAUAAACCCUAAUGUUUUGUUUGAUCUUUUAAUAGUAUCCAUGGCAGUUUCUCAUUUAUUAUAACACCUAGGUAUUUUGAGUUUUUAGUCUGUGUUACUGGUUUACAAUGAAUAAAAUAGGUGGAAUGUAUUUGUUUUAGUUUUUUUUUUUUGUUACUCUGUAAUAACUGACAUUGUUCUGGGUGUAAUUCAUCUAAGUCUUUUUGUAAAUUUCUAUAUCUUUGGACCUAAGACUGUUCAUUGAGGUACACUUGAGUUUAUUGUUAUUGGUGUUGAUUUAGAGCAGUGGUUCCCAAACUUUUUUGUCUCGUAGACCCCUUGCCAUGUUUUCUGGUUAUCGGUAGACCCCCUGCUUAACUUUCAAAUUUUUGCAAAUUCAACAUUUUUAAAACUAAUUUCUAUCUGUACAAAAAGUAAAGUAAAGUUCCCCUCUCAGACCUUGUGGUCUAUAGGGCAGAUGAUGUAAAGGUCAUCUGUUUCUGAGGACUACGAUUAUCGAGGGUGUCAUGUGGCCAGCACAACGACCAACAGCCUUUACUUUCCCCAACUAAUGUCAGGUACUCAUUAGAGCUGGGUGGCCUCAGAGGCGCCCAAAAGAUCCCGAAAUUAAAAAUCCAAGUUUUCAACAGGAUUCAAACUCGGGACCCCCGUUUCAGAAGCCAAACACUUUACGGCUCAGCCAAAACGCCUCCAAAUUUCUAUCUGUAGAGAGUUGAAAAGUGAAAAAGUAAUUUAAAGCUACAUAUUAGAGAUUUUAGAGAUCUCUCUUUUUUAUUGAUAAAAUUCAAAACCAAUUAAAAUAGCAAUAUGUAUUGCUUGAAUCUCCAAACACAAUGGCCUUAAGUAUCAUUGUAAGAGUUUUCGCAAAGAGCAGUUUCUCGUGUAUAUCUUGAUGUUUCACGUGUUGCUCGAAUAUUGAGUCUGCGAAUAUGUUAUCACUAUCGGGAGAAAGAGCGAAGGCGAGUGACUGUCGCCUCAACCAGUAAGCUUCGAGCAGGAAGGGCUCAUUUGUCUUGGCUGGCUACCCACCUAGCAGAAGUAAAACUGAAUUCAAAACUCUCCUGUCUUGUGGGUUAACCUGAGGAAAAAUAAGGAGCCGGCGACCGUAAUGCAGUUUGCAGCACACACCACUACAUCCUGUCAGAACCUGUGACGCUGCUGAGCCCAAACGUAUAUAUGUCAUUUGCAAAGAAUGACAUAUGAAGCUUUUAAUUUUAUAACUCAUGCCACCGAAGCAACCUUGAACUGUAUUGUUGCUUAAAGAAAUUCUUUUAAUAAUAUCAGAUGUGGGUUUGUGUAAAACAGGUUUUAGAACUAUAACGGCUGGUAAAAAUCAGUGUUUUACCUAUUGGUGUUUUCCGCAUUUGCCAUGAAUAAGUAAAUUUCCCCUUUCAGACAUUGUGAUGAUGUUAUGGUCAUCUGUUUCUUUGGCCAACGGUUAACGAGCAGGGUGUCAUGUGGGCAGAACAACGACCAACCACCUUUACUUUUACUAACAUAAAUCAGGUACCCAUUAGAGAUGGGUGGACUCAGGGGAGCCCUGAAAAAUCCUGAAAUUCAAAAUUCACAGAGAUUCGAACCCAGGACCCCAAUUACGGAAGCCAAGCGCUUAACCACUACCAACACACCCUUAUUUUGCUAUAAGUGAACAGAUAUUGUAAGACUCAUAAACCACCAUCUUCUCUACAUGAUGUUGAAUAGAGAUUUUGUGGUCUCUUCUGAACUUUAUCUUUGAAUGUUCAAAAGUUUUUCAAAUCUAUAUCUUUUUAUCUGGGUGAUAUUGUCGCAGAUGAUCCUCAAGCGUAAUUAGUUUCAUAUCGUCAAAAAAAGGCAAUCGGUAACCGCUUGGUUGACAAGGAAAGAAUGAACAAUUUUACAUAAUCAACGCUAGACAGUCUACAUUUCUUUUUGUUAAACAUUAUUUACAUGGAGACAAAAUUAAGUUAUUUUAAUAAGUAUUGAAAUUAAAUACAACAAUUUUUCGUUUGAAUAGCAGGAUAAAUAUUUAAAUGAUUAAGUUACAAAUUAUAUCUAGUGUGAAGAAUUACAUUAAUGGGAUGUAAAAAUUAAAGUCACGAUCUGCUUAUAUGAAUCUAUUAUUAUAGACCCCCAUGGACAUCCCAUGGAACCCCAAUUUGUUUUUUCACUUUCGUAGACCCCUUGAAAGUCUUCGUAGACCCCUGGGGGUCUAUAUAGACCACUUUGGGAAUCACUGAUUUAGAGUCAUUUAUUAUUAGUUUGUUCUCUCCUUAUCAGAAAAUUCUUAAUCCGGUGACCCGACAAAAUAGCGCGAAAUUUCCAUACAAAAUAGAGCAAGACAAAAUAGCGCGGACUUGUAGACUCUAUUUGAUGUGUAUAAAAGUAUCGGAGUAUUAGUAAUUUAGUGUGUCUUGGGCAUUUUUUUGUUGAUGUCUCUAUCUUUUUCAAUAUGACUAGAUCUGAAAUUAUGCCAUAUUUGUAGAGAACGAGAGUACUUUAAAUUUUAUAACAUUCCCCUUUUUCACCAAUGUUUAAAAUGCAUAACUUGCUAAAAAUAGUAUUUUGAAAUGUGGUGACCUCGUUAAAGGGUUAGAAGUUAAUCUCUCACUUCCUCAGAGAAUAGGAGAACACGGAGAACAAGAUUCUGAGGUACAGUGCAGGAGAACAAAGUAAAGCUGCAAGCAAGACUUGACAGAUGACUUGAAGCUAUAUUGCCAAUGUACGGAAACAAGUCGGUGAUGGAAUAUCUACGUGAUAUUUCCUACAAUUUAACUUUGUGAAAGUUUGUGUGUGUGUCUGAAAGUUAUCUUUGCCUGUUUUUUUUUUAAAGUACACGUUGGGAAUGUAAAUAAGUGAUAUAUUUUGAAAUAAUUCAUUUGAACUUAUUAUAAUUUUUUAUUACUUUUGGCUUAUUUAUGUUUUAAGUUAUCUAAAGUGUUUCCUGCAAAUAUAAUGAUAACAUAAAAAAAAAAUGUCUCUAUUCCUAUUUACGGUUUCUAAAGUAUUUCUUUCAAAAUGACUGAAAUAUAUAUUUUUCUGCGCUAUUUUGUCUGCGCUAUUUUGUCGGCGCUAUUGUGUCCGCGCUAUUUUGUCGGCGCUAUUGUGUCCGCGCUAUUGUGUCGGGGUACCCCUUUUUUUUUUUUUUUUUUUUUCCAUUGUAUACAGUAUGUUUUAAUUUGUGAAAAGUGCUCAUCAAUAGGCUAGAAUGAAAUCUGUACAAACAUAAUGAUGAGAAAGGGAAAAACAAAAAAAUGAGAUGACAUGUCUAUCCAAAUAUGUUAAUUUUGAAGGCAAACUAUGGUGGUGAACUUUAUCUAAAAAACCUUUUGAACAAUCAUCAAUUAGUCUUAAAAAGACAAUAAAAAUAAAAUAGUCAAUAUU